UGUAGAGAUAUGUCACCAACGAAAAGUGCAAACUUAAAAAAGAAAAAUAAUGAAUCCCAAGAAGAGUUUGAAACUAGAACCAAAAAUUUUUUCAGCUUGACAAUAACUAACCAAGUACUACACGACGCAGCUCCAAUACACUCACGUUUAAUGUGAUUAAUGUUGUGUGACAGAUGGGUUUCCUGAAGUUGCAAAGGAGAUAAUUGAAUCCAUUGAUGACGAGAACAACUCAGCCGCAUUCAAAGUGAUCGAAAGGCAUCUACUGGAGAAGUACAAGAGUUUCUAUAUCAUAGUUCAAGCCAGUCAGAAGGAAGAGGGCAGCCUAGUGCAUUGGCCUCUGAAGUAUGGGAAGGUGAGUGAGGAGGUUCCAGAGCCAAAACGGAUGCUUAAAUUGGCUAUCGAUGCUCACCUUAUAAAGCAGGCUAAUUGAUUAGAUCUGCACAGAUCGCUUAAUUAUGUACGCUCUAUUUAUUAAGCACUGGCCUGUUGCAACUAUAUCAAGAACUUGAAUAAUAUUUAUGUGUUCAGUUGUGACA